rnacentral:siRNA from 1 species
AAUAUCUACAUUUGAUGGUUU